ACGGCGAGUGAAGAGGGAAAAGCCCAAAUUUGUAAUCUGGCUCUUUUUAUAAGGGUCCGAGUUGUAAUUUUGAGAACUGUUUUCUGUGCUGGACCAUGUACAAGUCUGUUGAAAAACAGCAUCAUUGAGGGUGAAAAUCCCGUACAUGAUAUGGACUACCAGGGCAAUAUGAUACAGUCUCUAAGAGUCGAGUUGUUUGGGAAUGCAGCUCAAAGUGGGUGGUAAAUUCCAUCUAAGGCUAAAUAUAGGUGAGAGACCGAUAGCAAACAAGUACCGUGAGGGAAAGAUGAAAAGAACUUUGGAAAGAGAGUUAACAGUACGUGAAAUUGCUAAAAGGGAAACAGUUAAAGUUAGACUUGUUAUUGUUGGAUCAGCUUCUUUAUUGAGGUGUACUCUGAUGAUUAACAGACCAGCAUCAAUUUUUGAGUGUUGGAUAAGGGUUUUGGGAAUGUGGCAGCUUUGGUUGUGUUAUAGACCAUUACUUUGAUACAAUGCUUAGGAUUGAGGAACGCAGUAAGCUUU
rnacentral:rRNA from 1 species